CAGCAGCCACGGGAAAACCGAGGGUGCAAGCGUUAAUCGGAAUUACUGGGCGUAAAGCGCGCGUAGGUGGUUUGUUAAGUUGGAUGUGAAAGCCCCGGGCUCAACCUGGGAACUGCAUCCAAAACUGGCAAGCUAGAGUACGGUAGAGGGUGGUUGAAUUUCCUGUGUAGCGGUGAAAUGCGUAGAUAUAGGAAGGAACACCAGUGGCGAAGGCGACCACCUGGACUGAUACUGACACUGAGGUGCGAAAGCGUGGGGAGCAAACAGGAUUAGAGACCCCGGUAGUCCCUGUCUCUUAUAC
rnacentral:rRNA from 1 species